rnacentral:rRNA from 1 species
UGUCGUCAGCUCGUGUUGUGAAAUGUUGGGUUAAGUCCCGCAACGAGCGCAACCCUUAUCCUUUGUUGCCAGCGGUCCGGCCGGGAACUCAAAGGAGACUGCCAGUGAUAAACUGGAGGAAGGUGGGGAUGACGUCAAGUCAUCAUGGCCCUUACGACCAGGGCUACACACGUGCUACAAUGGCGCAUACAAAGAGAAGCGACCUCGCGAGAGCAAGCGGACCUCAUAAAGUGCGUCGUAGUCCGGAUUGGAGUCUGCAACUCGACUCCAUGAAGUCGGAAUCGCUAGUAAUCGUGGAUCAGAAUGCCACGGUGAAUAC